UUCGGGUCUGGUUUGCAAACCCACCUAUUCCACACAACACACCGAAAAACCCUCUGUGUUAACCCCCAAAAGACAACGAAAAGAAAGAAAAGGAAACAUCAAUCAGGUUUACUCAGAGCAGGAAAAUGAGGGGAAUUUAUAUGGUUCGACGGUUCGUUGAACGCCGUAAUUUCUUGAAUUUCGGUUCAGUUAUCCGAAUUUCAAGUGCAAUCCAUGUCUCAUCACUGCCCGAUUUUUCCAUUCCUUCGAAACCAUUGUUUUGUACUGAUUUCUCAACUUACACUACCACAAAGAGUCAAUCUUUAAGCCCUUCUCUUCAAUUCCAAAGAACCCUUUGCUCGUCCCCAGAUAAUUCGAAGGUUGUACUCAUUAAGUCAGAAGAACAGUUCAAUACCUCAAUGAAUAAUGUUCAAGACAAGUCUUUGCCAGCAAUCUUCUAUUUCACUGCUGCGUGGUGUGGGCCAUGCAAGUUCAUAUCUCCUAUCCUUACGGAGGAGAGUAAGAAAUACCCUGAUGUUACAACAUAUAAGAUUGACAUUGACCAGGAAGGCCUUCGGAGCAAAUUGAAUCAAUUAUUUAUUAGUGCUGUGUUGACGGCAUUUUCUGAAAAAUUGGCAUUCUCACGUACCACGGGAACUUCUUGUGUCCAGAGAAGCAGAGCUCAUUUUCAUAUCAAGUCAAAGAGCGUAGAAAAUUACUGUUCCACCAAAUUUACUUCAGUCUUCAGGCCUUUUUCCUCUACUUUCUUGACAUACCAACUUGGGAAUUUCCCAUGGUUGUAUAUUAAACUGGGGAACAUCCUAUUCUCUUACUGCCAGUGGAAUGAGGAUUUCUCUAGAGAUGAAAGUACCCUGAUAUAAAAACGUUUCUCAACAUGACUUGAUUAAAAAUGUUUCUCUAUGUAUUUGUGGCAUGUCUGUAGAGGAAAAAGGGGUUUAAAAUGGCUGUUAAUCUAUAUUCUGCUGGUGCUUUUUGUCUUUUGGUACCAUGAAGCAGGCAUCUCUAGUUCCCUUCUCUUUUCUCUAGAUCAAGUUCUAAAUCCACUCUAGUUUUAGAUAGAGACUUAAGUUGUAUCUUUAUGUCUUUAUGAUAUGGAGUGGGAUAACAAAUGAGCUUAGCCUGAACUGCACCUAAACCUACCUCGUUGCUAUUAUUGAAUUUCUCAUCUGUUUUUACUAGUCUUCUAUUUGGGUUUUGGCCAUUUCUAAACUUUGAUAUUUUUUUUUCCUUACUUCAUAAGAAAGAGAAGGCGACAAGGCCAAUGUUUGAUUUUUUACCUUCUGUCAAUUUGUAAAGGGUCAAUCAUGGUUUUGAACAACUAUAUGGGGUAUGAAACAAGUACGAAAAAAAAUUUAUAAUAAUUGUCAGGAAUUCUUUUCAUAUAUCUAUAUACACGUUUAAACCUAAAGUUGAUAUUUGGUUACAUAUCAUACUCAAUUGCUUUGUAAUUGAUAUUUGAGCUUUAGAGGCUCUUAGUUACUGCUUAAAGUCUUCAGUAUAAUUUUGUACAUUGUGUUUCUUGUUUUAUGCUAUUUUAUUGUGCUUGUUUUGCUCUGUUUUUUUGGAACCUGCAAUUGCUAGUUUGUAUCCAUUGGUUUCUUUUAGCUAUUAGUUGGUUGGCUUAUUGACUUUUUAAUGUUGUCCUGUCAAACAUAUGCAUUAUAUUGUAAGAGGAACGCUGUUAUACUAUUAUAACUUGCGCCUUAUUUUGCAGCCAACACUCCAUUUUUUUCAAAAUGGGAAAAAGGCAGCUGAAAUUGUUGGCGCUGAUGUUGAACGAAUAAAGGAUACAAUGGAAGAACUCUAUGGG